AACGAACGCUGGCGGCAGGCCUAAAACAUGCAAGUCGAACGCCCCGCAGGGGGAGUGGCGCACGGGCGAGUAACGCGUGGGAACGUGCCCUUCAGUACGGGACAACGUCGGGAAACUGACGCUAAUACCGUAUAAUGACUCCGGUCCAAAGAUUUAUCGCUGAAGGAGCGGCCCGCGUCUGAUUAGCUAGUUGGUGAGGUAAUGGCUCACCAAGGCUACGAUCAGUAGCAGGUCUGAGAGGAUGAUCUGCCACACCUGGACUGGGACACGGCCAAGACUCCUACGGGAGGCAGCCGUUAGGAAUAUUGGACAAUGGGGGGAACCCUGAUCCAGCCCUGCCGCGUGUGUGAUGAAGGCCCUAGGGUUGUAAAGCACUUUCGUUGGGGAUGAUAAUGACCGUACCCAAAGAAGAAGCACCGGCUAACUUCGUGCCAGCAGCCGCGGUAA
rnacentral:rRNA from 1 species